GGCCCGGUGGUUAAGCAGUAUAACGCCGCUAGCGACUUCGCUAUACGGAAUCCCCGGUUCAAUCCCGGGCCGGGCUA
rnacentral:tRNA from 1 species